rnacentral:tRNA from 1 species
GUCUUCGUGGUGUAGCGGUAACACUCCUGUCUUCCAAACAGGCUUCGCCGGUUCGAUCCCGGCCGGAGACU